AGUGAACGCUGGCGGUAGGCCUAACACAUGCAAGUCGAACGGCAGCACAGUAAGAGCUUGCUCUUACGGGUGGCGAGUGGCGGACGGGUGAGGAAUACAUCGGAAUCUACUUUUUCGUGGGGGAUAACGUAGGGAAACUUACGCUAAUACCGCAUACGACCUACGGGUGAAAGCAGGGGAUCUUCGGACCUUGCGCGAUUGAAUGAGCCGAUGUCGGAUUAGCUAGUUGGCGGGGUAAAGGCCCACCAAGGCGACGAUCCGUAGCUGGUCUGAGAGGAUGUGACACCCCAGCGGAAACUGGCAACCGGCCCGGGCUCCCCGGGGCGGAAGAAGGGGGGAAUUUUGGAAGAAGGGGGGAGGCCGGAACCAGCCUUGCCGGUGGGGGGAAGAAGGCCUUCGGGUUGUAAAGCCCUUUUGUGGGGAAAAAAAAGAGGCAGGUUAAACCCCCGGUGUUUGGCCGGAACCCAAAAAAAAAGCACCGGCUAACUUCGU
rnacentral:rRNA from 1 species